rnacentral:rRNA from 1 species
CCAGACUCCUACGGGAGGCAGCAGUGGGGAAUAUUGCACAAUGGGGGGAACCCUGAUGCAGCGACGCCGCGUGAGUGAAGAAGUAUUUCGGUAUGUAAAGCUCUAUCAGCAGGGAAGAAAAUGACGGUACCUGACUAAGAAGCCCCGGCUAACUACGUGCCAGCAGCCGCGGUAAUACGUAGGGGGCAAGCGUUAUCCGGAUUUACUGGGUGUAAAGGGAGCGUAGACGGCCAGACAAGUCAGAAGUGAAAGCCCAGGGCUCAACCCUGGGACUGCUUUUGAAACUACCGGGCUGGAGUGCCGGAGAGGUAGGCGGAAUUCCUAGUGUAGCGGUGAAAUGCGUAGAUAUUAGGAGGAACACCAGUGGCGAAGGCGGCCUACUGGACGGUGACUGACGCUGAGGCUCGAAAGCGUGGGGAGCAAACAGGAUUAGAUACCCCAGUA